rnacentral:rRNA from 1 species
AGGGAAAAGCUCAAAUUUAAAAUCUGGCAGUCUUUGGCUGUCUGAGUUGUAAAUUAGAGAAGUGCUAUCUGUGCUGGACUGUGCAUAAGUCCCUUGGAAAAGGGCAUCAUAGAGGGUGACAAUCCCGUCUUUGGCACAGACUCCCAGUGCUCUGUGAUGC